rnacentral:misc_RNA from 1 species
UGUAGGAGUGAGCCUGCUCGCGAUAGCGGUCUGUCAGUUGAUAUUAAUGUUGACUGACAGACCGCUAUCGCGAGCAGGCUCACUCCUACA